GAGAGCAGGGAGCUCCCUGACCUGAGACGCAGCGCGACCCGACAACGUGACCCGGCCGUUGCGCCACCGUCCGGUCACCCCACGAAGGCGCCCAGGUGUCAUUCCAUUCGUCUCUUCAUCGCCUACGUUCCUGUGUCCUCGGAUUAUACAUGCAACGAUCGUGAACGGAGAAUCAACGGCGAGAAGCAGCACCUGCUCCGGCGAGUUUCUGCAACUUCCGGCGACUCCGGCUACCGUUUUGGCCGCCUGGGCCACGGCUCUGCCGUGUUCUUCGAGUCCGGCAACGUCUCCAGCGCUUCUAGCUUAGGUGGCGUGUGAAAGAUGGUCCAUUAUUCGUACUCUACACGCUGGUGUACCUAGUCUGCGAGUUCGAUCAAGAUUUUGGAGAAGCUGUGUUUGGGGUGCAAUCUGCCUCCAUCGAGGAUUGGAGAAUUAGUUAGCUACACCGGCUCGGGCUUGCUGUACUCUCCUAAUGAGUGCAGACUUUGAGCUAAGUUGAUCAUAAGAACUUAGGACUCCAGUCACCUGAGGAACGGAAGGUUCGCGACUCUCGGAGUACGUGAGAGAAAGCAUCGGAAUCCAGGUAGGGAUUCAGGACUCUCCUCGGUAAGUGGUUUUCUUAUAUAUUGUUAUUAAAGUGAUGCAUGUUAGGUGGUAUGAUUUGGUUAUGUUAAAAUGCAAUGCAUACUAACCAAAUCGUGAGAAAUGUGAUGGCUUUAGAGCGAAAGGGGCACUGACUUCUUUGGGUUCGAUUCCCUAAACCUCUGGAGGGUUAGCUAUGCCGGUCGUUCGAGUAUCUGCUUAUAAUGUCGGACUCGGUACGUGGGUAUAGCUAGGUAGCGGACGCUCUCGCUAUGUUUACCUGGUUAUAAAUUAAUUUGAGAUAAGGUCGUGUAGUGGGUCUAUGGGACCGGUCAUCAGUAUGGAUGCAGGUACUGUGCACUGGUGACAGGACAGUAGCGGACGGAGCUGGGUGAGCGGAACAAGUUCGGUAAACCAUCGUUUGGACUUUAUUCUAAAUUAUUUUUCUCGAACUUCGUGUUCCGGAGCUUGUUGAUAUUUAGCUUUGUGUCAACUUCAGUUGAAUUCUCACUUCUUGAGAUUCGUGUCUCUCGUGUGAGCCUUCAUUCCAAGUUCUGGACGAAUGAAAUAAAUUUUAGCAACUCAUGCUUUCACCUCAAAAAUAUUUGUAGUUUUCGAUAUGUUUAUACAAAAAGUUUUUCAAACAAAACGCCUAGCGAUUCUCUAGGAUGUAAAUCGAGCGUUCGGUUUAUGUUUUAGAGGGUCGCGGCACUGUAACGUGCUUAAGCUGAUGAGGUGCAGCCUGGGGCGUUACAGCUAUAGCUACUCCCUUUUGCUUCUAAUGAUAAUUUCAUAGGUCUCUCUCCAUCUAUUUAAACAUUAUUUCUCCCAUUCAAGAAUAACCACCCCUACCACCCCAUUACAUCUCCUUUCUAUCUCCAUCUCUACCACAAAACCUCCAUCUCUCUACUUCCCAAAAUCCAAACCUAUAAUAUCCAUACUCCUUAACCUCCAUCACCACCACCAAAACUACCAUCUUCCACCACCACUACUCUAUCACUGCCACUUAAAGUUAGCCAAAGAAGCAUCAUAUCUUCAUCACAAUUUCAUUCAUCAUCAACAAGAUGUUCAUCAUCCAUCCAUUCCAACAUCAAUGAGGAUUCAAGGAGAAUUGAAGAAGGAAAACAAAGGAGGAGCUAGCCAUUGAUUUGUCAAGUUUCAACUAGUUCAUUUUCUCCUUAACUCUUUAAUUUACCUUGAUGUAUUUUAUAGAUUUGAUGCUAAUUUGUAUGAUUAUGAGUGAGUAGUUACUUUGUUGGGGCUAGCGUUGAAUGUCCUAGCCAAUCUUGUAUGGAUUGAUGUUAUAAUAUGAUGUGAUGCAAUUU